CAUUAGUUUUGGGUGAUUUGGAAUUGUUAUGACUUUGUAAGAGCUUUACAAAGCCAAGAUUGUUUUCAGAUGACUUAGAUUUUGUGAAAUAAAAUAGGGUUGAAGUUUCUAGUGAUUUCAAGAUUUUUGUAACAGAUCUAUAGGUGAAAUUUUGAAGGUUAAUGGUCAUAGGUGUGCUUAAUAUUUGUUGUAAAUAUUAGCUUGAUUUAACGAUUGAAUUGAGGAUUAUUGAGGUUUAAGUGAGUCAAAGUCUCAGAAAGUAGAAUUUUAGGUCUAGUGAGCAUUUUUAAGAUUUCUUGCAAUCUACUAGUUGGAUUGGAGUGAAAUUUGUGUGAAAGGAUAUUAGACUUGUUUUUCUAUAUGUAUAAGAAUUUUGAAAUCAAUCAAAUAGUGGAAAGAAGAGAUAUUGGCUCUGAAAGAUAUUGGCAUUAAGGUUGAAGAAGGAGGCUGGCCAAUAUCGGAGCACGUUUUUGAAGUUAUCGUCUAUUUGGUAAUUUUGAUCAUUUCUAAAAAUUUUGUGCUUGUUUUCAACUUAGUUUUUAGGAAGUGUGAAAAAUUUGAGUUAAGAUCGAUAGUUCAUUCAUUAGUUAUUGAGGUUUAAUUCUAUUAUAGAAAUUACUACGAUUUGAUUAGGAUUUGAUUUAGGGUUAGGAUUAGGAUUAGGAUUUGAUUAGGAUUAGGAUUAGAAUUUGGUUAGGAUUUGAUUUAGGAUUAGGGUUUGUUUUAGGAUUUAAGAUUUGAUUAGGAUUUGAUUUAGGAUUAGGGUUUAAUUCAGGAUUUAGAAUUUGGUUAGGAUUUGAUUUAGGAUUAGGAUUUGGUUUAGGAUUUAGGAUUUGGUUUAAGAGUGGUUAGGAUUUGAUUUAGGAUUGGAAUUUGAUUAGGGUUUGAUUUAGGAUUAGGAUUUGAUUAGGAUUUGGUUAGGGUUUGAUUUAGGAUUAGGAUUUGGUUUAGGAUUUAGGAUUUGAUUAGGAUUUUAUUUAGGAUUAGGAUUUGGUUUAGGAUUUAGGAUUUGAUUAGGAUUUUAUUUAGGAUUAGGAUUUAAUUUAAGAUUUAGGAUUUGAUUUAGAGGUGGUUAGGAUUUGAUUAGGGUUUGAUUUAAGAUUAGGAUUUGGUUAGGUUUUGGUUAGGAUUUGAAUUAAGAUUAGGAUUUGAUUUAAGAUUUAUGAUUUGGUUAGGAUUUGAUUUAGGAUUUAGGAGUUGGUUAGGAUUUCAUUUAGAGUUUAGGAUUUGGUUUAGGAUUUAGGAUUUAAUCAAGUUUUAACUAGGAUUAAAUUAAGAUUGAAUUGAGAUGUAUUUGAGAUAUGUUUGUAAUCAUUUUAAUAUUUUUUAAAGAUUACUUAUUGUUUCUUUGGAAUUCCUUUGAGGUUUCUUUGAAUUUGAUUAAAGCUUGUUUAGCAUUAUUAGUGUUGUAUUAGAAUUAGGAUUUUGUUGUUACAAUUUCCAUUCUACCUUCCACAACCAGGUGCCCGGAGCAUUCUCAAGCAUGACUUCACGUAUUACGACAAUGUAGCUCUUA
rnacentral:lncRNA from 1 species